rnacentral:rRNA from 1 species
AGUGGCGGACGGGUGAGUAACACGUAAGAAUUUGCCUUUAGGAGGGGGACAACAACUGGAAACGGUUGCUAAUACCCCAUAUGCUUUCGAGUGAAAUGGAUUUUUCCGCCUAAAGAGAAGCUUGCGGCUGAUUAGCUUGUUGGUGAGGUAAUGGCUCACCAAGGCGACGAUCAGUAUCUGGUUUGAGAGGAUGAUCAGACACACUGGAACUGAGACACGGUCCAGACUCCUACGGGAGGCAGCAGUGGGGAAUUUUCCGCAAUGGGCGAAAGCCUGACGGAGCAAUCUCGCGUGAGGGAUGACGGCCUAUGGGUUGUAAACCUCUUUUUUCAGGGAGGAACAAAAUGACGUGUACCUGAAGAAUAAGCAUCGGCUAACUCCGUGCCAGCAGCCGCGGUAAGACGGAGGAUGCAAGUGUUAUCCGGAAUCACUGGGCGUAAAGCGUCUGUAGGUGGUUUGAUAAGUCAACUGUUAAAUCUUGAAGCCCAACUUCAAAAUCGCAGUCGAAACUAUUAGACUAGAGUAUAGUAGGGGUAAAGGGAAUUUCCAGUGGAGCGGUGAAAUGCGUAGAUAUUGGAAAGAACACCGAUGGCGAAGGCACUUUACUGGGCUAUUACUGACACUCAGAGACGAAAGCUAGGGUAGCAAAUGGGAUUAGAUACCCCAGUAGUCCUAGCCGUAAACAAUGGAUACUAGAUGU